UAUCUUCGCUUCAGCUUCUGUCGCCUUGUCACCUGCAGUUUCUGGGAGGUCAUGUGGUGGGCUCCGGGACAUCUGGAAUCCGGGAGAUGCAAUUUUCAAGAAAUCUGUUUUAGUUCGGAGAAACCAUUCUCCGAAUGUGUGCAUUUAUCGACACAUCCCUGUUCUUGAGAGGAAAAGGUAGAAAUGAUUUCUGUCCUCUGGAUGAUCUUGCAAUUGUGAAGGAAGAAAAACUAUCCCAAAGGACAAGGAGCUGUGGACCAUUCAAGAAUGUGGUCAUAGAAUUCUCUCCAGAGGAAUAUUCAGCAGAUAUUUUACUGGAACUUGAUGUUAGAGAACCACAGAAACCUGCUAUUUUAGGUAAGCAUGGUCUUUAAACACAAUCCCUAUUUCAUACUAAGAAUUUCAAACCUUUCUUUGUAGAAUGAUUCCUCGGAAUUUCUGCU